rnacentral:rRNA from 1 species
GGGGUAGUGGCCUACCAAGCGACGACGGGUAGCCGGCCUGAGAGGUGACCGACCACACUGGGACUGAGACACGGCCCAGACUCCUACGGGAGGCAGCAGUGGGGAAUAUUGCACAAUGGGCGGAAGCCUGAUGCAGCGACGCCGCGUGAGGGAUGACGGCCUUCGGGUUGUAAACCUCUUUCAGCAGGGAAGAAGCGCAAGUGACGGUACCUGCAGAAGAAGCGCCGGCUAACUACGUGCCAGCAGCCGCGGUAAUACGUAGGGCGCGAGCGUUGUCCGGAAUUAUUGGGCGUAAAGAGCUCGUAGGCGGCUUGUCGCGUCGGUUGUGAAAGCCCGGGGCUUAACCCCGGGUCUGCAGUCGAUACGGGCAGGCUAGAGUACUACAGGGGAGACUGGAAUUUCUGGUGUAGCGGUGGAAUGCACAGAUAUCAGGAAGAACACCGAUGGCGAAGGCAGGUCUCUGGGUAGUAACUGACGCUGAGGAGCGAAAGCAUGGGUAGCGAACAGGAUUAGAUACCCUGGUAGUCCACGCCGUAAACGGUGGGCGCUAGG